AAAGUACUCCCUCCGUCCCAAAUUCUUGUCUUAGAUUUGUCUAGAUACAGAUGUAUCAAGUCACAUUUUAGUAUUAGAUACAUCCGUAUCUAGACAAAUCUAAGACAAGAAAUUUGGGACAGAGGGAGUAGUUG
rnacentral:pre_miRNA from 1 species